rnacentral:rRNA from 1 species
UCCGGAGGGUGCAAACGUUGCUCGGAAUCAUUGGGCGUAAAGCGCACGUAGGCGGUCCGGUAAGUCGGAUGUGAAAGCCCUCGGCUCAACCGAGGAAGUACAUUCGAAACUGCCGGACUUGAGUACGGGAGAGGGAUGCGGAAUUCCCGGUGUAGAAGUGAAAUUCGUAGAUAUCGGGAGGAACACCAGUGGCGAAGGCGGCAUCCUGGACCGAUACUGACGCUGAGGUGCGAAAGCGUGGGGAGAAAACAGG